rnacentral:rRNA from 1 species
CUCGAAUCAGAUAGAGUUACCCGCUGAAUUUAAGCAUAUCAAUAAGUGGAGGAA